CAUGAAAUUUGAUUGAAUUGUGGGAAUGAUGAAAAUGUUGAUGUUAAACCCAUGAAAUUUGAUUGAAUUGUGGGAAUGAUGAAAAUGAUGAUGUUAAACCCAGGAAAUUUGAUUGAAUUGUGGGAAUGAUGAAAAUGUUGAUGUUAAACCCAUGAAAUUUGAUUGAAUUGUGGGAAUUAUAGAAAUGAUGAUGUUAAACCCAUGAAAUUUG
rnacentral:lncRNA from 1 species